rnacentral:rRNA from 1 species
AGACGGGGGGGGCGAGCGUUGUUCGGAAUUACUGGGCGUAAAGGGCGCGCAGGCGGCUUGGGAAGUCUUGGGUGAAAGCCCCCAGCUCAACUGGGGAAUGGCCUGAGAAACCACUAGGCUGGAGUGCUGGAGAGGGAAGCGGAAUUCCCGGUGGGGCGGUGAAAUGCGUAGAUAUCGGGAGGAACACCAGAGGCGAAGGCGGCUUCCUGGACAGACACUGACGCUGAGGCGCGAAAGCUAGGGGAGCAAACGGGAUUAGAAACCCCGGUAGUCC